rnacentral:tRNA from 2 species
AAAGUAGCUUACAAAAGCAUUUGGCCUACAACCAAAAGACAUUAUACAACCUAAUCUUUUUGA